rnacentral:lncRNA from 1 species
GAAUUUAUUCUUGGAUUAAGAUGAGGGUAUAAUAGGAAGAUAAUGUGCAAAAAUCCACUUUAUUAAUUAAGUGUUAUCAUUCUAACUGAACACUUAUAAAAAAACGGUAGGAGUAAAAUAUUAAGAUGGAAUUAACCACCUCAAGAAAAUUUUUAAAAUAUUGAAAUUAUUUACUAACUUUCAAAUAUGACACAAAAUAUUCAUGAAAGUGAUGAUGUGUCAAAUUAUUAAGUAGGGGUAACAUGAGAUUUUCACAUGUAUCUUAUUUUCUU